rnacentral:lncRNA from 1 species
UUGAUUUGAAUUGGAUUUGAAGUUUGACCUUACUUUGUUCAUUUUAUUUUAUGUAUUAUUUUAAUUCCAAAAAAAUACCAAAAAUAUGUUUGACCUUUCUUGACUUCUAAAUUGAAUUGGAUUUGAAGUUUGACCUUACUUUGUUCAUUUUAUUUUAUGUAUUAUUUUAAUUCCAAAAAAAUACCAAAAAUAUGUUUGACCUUUCUUGACUUCUAAUCUUCAUUUCACUUCUGUUUACUAUUGAUUGAUGUUGAUUCUUUUCACAUUUGACCAUUGUAUCUUGAUUAUGUCAUUUGAAUUCUCAUUUUCUA